CCUACGGGUCGCAGCAGUAGGGAAUCUUCCGCAAUGGACGAAAGUCUGACGGAGCAACGCCGCGUGAGUGAUGAAGGCUUUCGGGUCGUAAAACUCUGCUGUUAGGGAAGAACAAGUGCUAGUUGAAUAAGCUGGCACCUUGACGGUACCUAACCAGAAAGCCACGGCUAACUACGUGCCAGCAGCCGCGGUAAUACGUAGGUGGCAAGCGUUAUCCGGAAUUAUUGGGCGUAAAGCGCGCGCAGGUGGUUUCUUAAGUCUGAUGUGAAAGCCCACGGCUCAACCGUGGAGGGUCAUUGGAAACUGGGAGACUUGAGUGCAGAAGAGGAAAGUGGAAUUCCAUGGGUAGCGGUGAAAUGUGUAGAGAUAUGGAGGGACACCAGUGGCGAAGGUGACUUUCUGGUCUGUAUCUGACACUGAGGCGCGAAAGCGUGGGGAGCAAACAGGAUUAGAUACCCGCGUAGUC
rnacentral:rRNA from 1 species